ensembl:lncRNA
CUUAUUGGUUGGAACAUAUAUGCAGCCAUGAGAGGUUCAUAUCUCAAGGUCUCUACAGUGAUGCUUGUAUGUACAUCGCUGUGAGGAACAGUAACAAAUAAGCUAAUGAUAAAGAAACGUCUUGCCUUAUGUACGAAAUUCAUACUCCAUACAUUAUAUAAAUUACUUGAUGUAAUUGAUGUAAAUAUGGAAAAACAAAUGUUCCUAUGCAACAGUCAACUAUACUGAUAAGGUAGAUUAGAGAGACCUAGAGUCUGCUGUACUGUACAAGGUGCUUCUGAAACUAGUUGUUUCCUUCUCACUGUCUAUUGAGCAGGUUGUUAAACAGGAGCACGUCGAGAUGAAUCAGCACUUGUGCUUGGAAGUGUAUUUUUCUAUUAAUAUGAUUGUAAUUCCAAGUGUAACGCAGUAGGACAUUCCAGUCGGAGUCUGAAUCAGACGCACUGAAUAAUGAGCAAUGGAGCCAUUUCUCAUCACAAAGUCUAAAAAACACACACAGGAGCGUGCCACAGCUGUAUCAUAAAGUCGAGUCUGUGUGUGUGUGUGUGUGUGCGUGUGUGUGUGCGUGUGUGUGUGGGUGUAUGGGUGCAUGUGGAAGUCAUCGUUGAUUCACCACUGCUAAAAACAACUUCCACACUAUCAUUGCAGGAUCAGUGUACAUGAUAACUUUGAUCAGUUUACCUGUGAAAUGUUUAUGAAAGUAGUUGCAUUUACUAUUAUUUAGCCAACAUUGCCCCCAAUGAAAAUCCCUCGAUGUCAUGUGACGGUUUUUCACACCCACACUAGUCAGAUAUUUUCUAACAUAAAAUCAUACAAAUGCUCUUAAAAUGACAUCAACCACACUUUGCUUACAGUCCCACCUUUUUUUUUAGCAAACGUCAGACAUUUUUUUUAACAAAAACACUUGAUUUUUUAGUUUGCCAAGUUUUACACGAGAACCUUUUACAUGACCUGUGAGAAUUCUUUCGUGGGAAUGUGAAUUCUUAUUUCCCCCUUUAGUAAUAAACAACAGCUGCUUAUGUUUAUCACGGUGUCUUAAUCUGCAGAUUUGAGCUCCAGAUGUGGUCCAUCUAUAUGGAAACAAUAGCGGCAGCGCACAGGUUCACGUGCCCAUUGCUAAACAGCGGGGUGACUUCAAUGAAUAGUGCACCACAGUUGUUGCAGCACUGUGGCAGGUGUGGCCUACCGCUGUGGUCAGAUGCAGCUGGGGCUGUUGAAUAGUCCACGUACACAUUGAGGUAUAGGUGUAUACACAAAUACACACAUGCUGACAUCUGUCAAUCCAAACAGAAGAGUUCCUUUGCAGGUCGACGUGUUGAAGAACCUUUUGUAUUUCUCUCCUCCACGUUGUGUUUAUUUCACGGUUUGAAUGAAGCAUAACAAAUGGUUUGAUGAUAAUUCUGUUUGUGAAUGUCUGUAUGUGUACCGUGAUGGACUGACAUUUUAGGGCAUCUUCUUCUCUUAAUCUACAUAUCCUAAUGGAUGAUGUUCAUGAUGUUCACAUGAACUUUAACUAUAGUUCAGGCUCUGCAGUUUCAUUCACUGGCAGAAAACAAUUGGGUGUCAUGACUAAGCGCCCACUGUAAACGCACAUUCCUUGUAGAUGGCUUUGUAAAAGUGAAUGUCAGAAGUCCUGCCUUACUUUGGGCUGUUUUCUUUUAAACCUCCAAACCGUUUUACAGCUACCUGUAGCAAUAUGCCCAAACCAACGUAGCCUAUUUUAAUUACAAUUGUUAAUUUGUUAACAAUUAAUUUGUUAAUUGUUAAUUUUAAAGGAAUGCACUUUCCUUUGACAGAGAGUAUCAUGUGUUGUGGUCUAGUUGUCAAAAUAUUGAAUGCAUUGUUGAAAACUAUUUCUCAGUAGAUAUAAGUAACCUAUAGACAUAUUCAAAUUUGUCAAGGUAAGCAUUGUAAAUGGGCCUUUUAUGUUUCCUUUUGUAAUGGUCAUUAAUGGAGUAACUGGCAGGAAGUAAACUUGCACCAAAGCUGCCAUGGCAAUGAAAGGGGUAAAGAAAAUGUCUAUUAGCAUACAAGCAUGCAUUGAUUUUUUCUUUAAAUGGGCCAAUAUCAGAGCACACGUAUUGCCUCCAUGCAUUUAGAUGACAAGAAUGGUAGAGAACCGUCUCUGGCCGCCACGAGCCAACAAAAGGAGUCCAUGGAGGAUUCAAAUUACCGUGACUCCUUAACUAUUUGCACAAUUGAUGUAAUUCUAACGGAUUCUGAAAGCUGAGAAAUGCCGCUUUCUAGAUAUUAUGUCAAUCAAUAAAUCAGUGGCGGGACUGAGAGCCUGUGAUGAGGGGGGGAAGUGAGCGCAGCAGGAGAACCGCAGCAGAAAGUCACGGAGAGAUGGCGAUGUUUUACGAGUGUCUUAAAAUUGUCCUACUAGUGUUUCACCAUUGUUUUACCGGUGUUUUGUUGUUCAAUUAUAUUUAGGUGUUGUAAAUAAAAGUAAAUAAAAGGGGCGCAGACGAUACGGCUCUCAAGUGUCACACUCAUUGCGUGACACUUCAUUUCCUGUUAAACGACAGUCAGUUCGUCUGUCCAAUCAGAAGGGUCCUUCCUCUGCUAUUAGGCCCUACCCUUUCCGUAAGAAGUUAAUGCCGUUGUGUCCUUUAAUGGCAACAUGCCCAGGGCAGUUUCUCUUCUUUUUACUGUUUGCUUGAUUGAGUCCUCCGUCACCCUGACAACAAAAAACACUUAUCUGCUUUGCAGUGUUUACGGAAAAUGUUGAGUCAAAAUCUGGAUUUAAUGUGUAAACACUUGCCACCUGCCAAAUACAUGUUGCUCAAUCACUUUUGAUGAUAGUCCGUUUGUAUACAGGCAGUGCCGGCACUCCGCACACGCACAUCAUGCACUGCGCGUAGGGCACCAAGUGCCUGGGGGGGCAUCAAAGAAUCUGGGACAUGAAAAAUCAUCACAGUAGGCUACUAGUAUAAAUAACAAAUAAAAUAUGUCUAAAGCAUGUAAAUAUGCAAAAGCAAUACAAAAGUAAUAGGCCUA